AGCUCUGGUGACCUAGUGGCUAGAGCGUCCGCCUCGGAUGCGGGCGGUAGCGGGUUCGACCCCCGAUCGAGUCA